rnacentral:lncRNA from 1 species
CCACAGACUGGGUGGCUCAAACAACAGAAACUUGUUUUCUCAUGAUUCUGGAGCGUAGGAGCCCAAGAUCAACAAGAUCAAGGCAUCAGCAAGAAACAGUCUCACUCUGUCCCCCAGGCUGGAGUGCAAUGAACUCAGUGCUGUUGUGUUAGAGCAGAAAGGAAAACCAGACCAAACUCAGCUGAUGCCCACCCACAGAGGAAGCAUUCAAACUAGCCGAUUUAGAGGGGAAUCACAGAUACUAGCGUUCCGAACUUAAGUGCCCACAAACCUCGCCAACGAGAACUACAGCACUGUUUGUCUCCAAGUAAACUUGAAAAGCAGUCUAGAUCAUAAGGACUGCAACUCUUAGGCCAAUUUUUGUGCUGAAGUAGUCCCAGAGACAGUGGACCGAGGGGGCACACAACAUACUGAGACACCAGCUGGAGCAGCCAAGGGAAUGCUGGCAUCACCCCUGCCCUAACCCCAGGAUGCACGGCUAGCAUCUCCAAGUGAGACCUCUUCCUUCAGCUUGAGGAGAGGAGAGGUAAGAAUAAGGAGGACUUUGUGUUAAAUCUUAAAUAUCAGCUGAGCCACAGUAGAAUAGAGGACCUGUCAGAGUCAUGAGGUCCCUGUUUCAGAUACUAUCUCCCAGAUGACAUUUCUAGACACACCCUGGGCCAGAAGGAAACCUUCUGCCUUGAAGGAAAGAAGACACUUAUCACCUGCUACCUGAAGAGCUCUUGAACCCUGAAUGACCAGCAGUAAUACCCAGGCACUACAUCAAGGGCCUUGGGUGAACUUCUGAGACUUGCUGGCUUCAGGUGAGACUCAGCACACUGCCAGCUGUGAUGGCUAUAACGCAAAACUGCUUCUGCUUGAGAAAAGCAGAGGGAAAAGUAAACGGGACUUUGUUUUGCACCACAGAUACGAGCACAGCCACACAGGGAUAGAGUACCAAAUGGCCUCUUGGGGUCCCCAAUUCCAGGUGUUGACUCUUAGAUGGUAUUUCUGGACCUUCCCUGAGCCAAAGGGGAGCCAACUGCCCUGAAGGGAUCAUCAAGAUAGUACCUCUAUGAGUCUGCAAGAACCACAGCCUCACUGGACUAGGGGUGCCCCCUAAAGCAGAUACAGCUUAGAUCACAACACCCAGGUUCUUCCAAAUAUCUGAAAAGCCUUCCCAAGAAGGAUGGCUACCAAUAAGCCCAGACAAUGAAAACUAUAAUAAAUACCUAGCUCUUCAAUGCCAAGACACAGAAAAUAUACAUAUAUAUAUAUGUAUACAUAUAUGUGUGUAUAUAUAUAUAUACACACACACACA